GAUGAACGCUGGCGGCGUGCCUAAUACAUGCAAGUCGAGCGAACAGACGAGGCGCUUGCUCCUCUGACGUUAGCGGCGGACGGGUGAGUAACACGUGGAUAACCUACCUAUAAGACUGGGAUAACUUCGGGAAACCGGAGCUAAUACCGGAUAAUAUAUUGAACCGCAUGGUUCAAUAGUGAAAGACGGUUUUGCUGUCACUUCUAGAUGGAUCCGCGCCGCAUUAGCUAGUUGGUAAGGUAACGGCUUACCAAGGCAACGAUGCGUAGCCGACCUGAGAGGGUGAUCGGCCACACUGGAACUGAGACACGGUCCAGGCUCCUACGGGAGGCAGCAGUAGGGAAUCUUCCGCAAUGGGCGAAAGCCUGACGGAGCAACGCCGCGUGAGUGAUGAAGGUCUUCGGAUCGUAAAACUCUGUUAUUAGGGAAGAACAAAUGUGUAAGUAACUAUGCACGUCUUGACGGUACCUAAUCAGAAAGCCACGGCUAACUACGUG
rnacentral:rRNA from 1 species